rnacentral:rRNA from 1 species
UACGAAGGGGGCUAGCGUUGCUCGGAAUUACUGGGCGUAAAGGGCGCGUAGGCGGACAGUUAAGUCGGGGGUGAAAGCCCGGGGCUCAACCUCGGAACUGCCUUCGAUACUGCGGGUCUCGAGUCCGGGAGAGGUGAGUGGAAUUCCUAGUGUAGAGGUGAAAUUCGUAGAUAUUAGGAAGAACACCAGUGGCGAAGGCGGCUCACUGGCUCGGUACUGACGCUGAGGCGCGAAAGCGUGGGGAGCAAACAGG